GAAUCCCGUCUUUGACACGGACUACCUGUACACUAUGGUGUGCUCUCGAAGAGUCGAGUUGUUUGGGAAUGCAGCUCAAAAUGGGUGGUAAAUGCCAUCUAAAGCUAAAUAUUGGCGAGAGACCGAUAGCGAACAAGUACCGUGAGGGAAAGAUGAAAAGGACUUUGGAAAGAGAGUUAAACAGUACGUGAAAUUGCUGAAAGGGAAACGCUUGAAGUCAGUCGCGUUGGCUGGAAGUCAGCCCUUGCUUCUGCUUGGUGUAUUUUCUGGUCGACGGGUCAGCAUCAAUUUCGACCAUUGGAUAAAGUCAUUGGGAAUGUGGCAUCUUUUGGAUGUGUUAUAGCCCAUUGUUGUAUACGGUGGUUGGGAUUGAGGAACUCAGCAUGCCCGUGAGGGCCAGGUUUCGACCAUGUUUCAUGCUUAGGAUGCUGGCAUAAUGGCUUUAAUCGACCCGUCUUGAAACACGGACCAAGGAGUCUAACAUGCCUGCGAGUGUUUGGGUGGAAAACCCAUGCGCGCAAUGAAAGUAAAAGUUGAGAUCCCUGUUAGAGGGGAGCAUUGACGCCCGGACCAGAGCUUUUGUGACGGAUCCGCGGUAGAGCAUGUAUGUUGGGACCCGAAAGAUGGUGAACUAUGCCUGAAUAGGGUGAAGCCAGAGGAAACUCUGGUGGAGGCUCGUAGCGAUUCUGACGUGCAAAUCGAUCGUCAAAUUUGGGUAUAGGGGCGAAAGACUAAUCGAACCAUCUAGUAGCUGGUU
rnacentral:rRNA from 1 species